GCGCCUCCGAGAUGGUGUGCGGAUCGGAUGGAUUGUUGGGAGGUGUUGGUCAAUGAGUGGUGCUUAAAAGAAUGGCUAGCCCUCCACAACGGGGCCAAGGACAAACGUGCCCAAAUGGAAGGUGUGCCACACCAUCAAGGCAGCUCCAACUUAUAUCAGUUCGGGCGGAACUGGGCACGCCACAAUAAGGUGGAUAAGGUGCCAGAGGUGUACGACCUGUAUUCCAUGGCCCACACUGCCUCUUUCAAGAAAGUCAAGCCUUUCUCUCAGUCUGACCUCGAUGAUGCAAACAACUUCACCAACAUCUCCUCCCACAACAAGCUCGUGAGAUAUAGAGAUGAGGGGAAGGCGAGGAAAGGGGAGGACUUUAACCCGAGCCAGGGUCCCAUUGAUCCAGAGCUGGUGAUGAUAUCUGGUGGCGGGAGGUCCCAUGGCUCCAUAGCC
rnacentral:rRNA from 1 species